UUUUAUACAUACAUUCAGAUAUAAUUCGGUGGCUACGUAGGUAGGACUUGACCAAGUAUCUCAAGACACUUUGUUUCUUUUGUUUAAUUUUCUAUGUGUGCGACUUACCUAUUUCCAUUAUUUUCAGCUAACCAAACACUCCACAAAUAUGUUAAUAUCAGCACACUAGUAUUUUGUGACAGCAAUAUGAUAGGGUAAAAAUGAAAAUAAUUGAAAGAAAUCGAAAGAGAAAAAAAACAUAAGCGGGUGGGGACUCUGUGUGAAAGCUUAAUGAAGGAGCCA
rnacentral:lncRNA from 1 species